UAGAGGGUGUGAGCUCUUACUCGCCUUCCCUCAUACUUUCCUUUGGAUUUCUUGUGGUUAUCCGUGUAUCAUCGAGCUGGUUAUCUUCGUGGAGGUCUGUCAGUACCGCUGGAACAUGGUGUUACCGAUCUCACAUCACUGGUUCAUUUGCUGCUGUGGCUAUUUGGUCACUGCACUUGUUGAGGCUCCAAGGGUUCAGGGUUCAGGGUUCGAAUCGCCAGGCGGAGGGAGGCAAUUCGGCCGGCUCUCCUUGUGUCCUUCCUCUCCCAAGGCCUCUGCUCGCUCAACACACAAUAGGUGGGCCGAUCUGAUGGCAUUCGCAGAAGAGGAAGGAGGGAGAGGUGGAGAAGACGACGAAGGAUAAUGAUGAUGAUGAGGAAAUUAAUGUUUUACCUCUUUGUUGUUAAUUUUGAUAAGGCUCAAGGCCAUGGGUGGGUGUGGGUGAGCAGUGUUCCGGGUUGGGAUGUCGUCUGACCCUUGACCUGACCCGGCCACGUGGGCAGAGGUCAGUAAGUGAUGCUGUACCAGUGUCUAUUAAUCAUUGUGCAGCAUUUGUCUGUGUUAUGUGAUGUGUGCUGGUCUGGGUGAUACAUAAUUACAAAUGCAUGUGAAAGGGAACGGUAAAUUGUAAUACGUUCUUUUGUUGGGAAAAGUAUGUAGCUGCUAAAAGUUAUAUGAAGGAUUUUUUGUGUGUUUGAUUUGCUGAUGUUGAGUGAAAUGUGACGCCUAUGAUUAUUAUUACUGUUGUUAUUAUUAUUAUUAUUAUUAUUAUUAUUAUUAUUAUUAUUAUUAUUAUUAUUAUUAUU